rnacentral:rRNA from 1 species
AUGAUGCCAAGCCUUUGGAGGAAUCUGAAAGGAGAAGCAAUACUCAAGAGUGCGAGAGUUGACAGAGAAUGUGCUGACAAUCUAAUUCCGAUGGAACUGGCCCUUAAAAUUACAACCAAGAUUACAGUUGGUAUGAGUUACUUGCUGAGAGUCAGAAAUUACAACCAAGAUUUUGUAACACGACUUUUAAACCAAGAGAUUUUUCAUCUUAGAUGCUACCGACAUGAGCUGGUAAUGUCGUGCUACCAUGGAGAAAACAUAGCUAGGGCGCUCCCCGGCCUGGAGCUCUGCUACUCCAUGACGCGGAGGUUCCUCGACAAGCAGACGGCGGUGGUCGGGCAGGUGUAG